rnacentral:rRNA from 1 species
GUGGGGAAUAUUGGACAAUGGGGGCAACCCUGAUCCAGCCAUGCCGCGUGAGUGAAGAAGGCCUUAGGGUUGUAAAGCUCUUUCAGCGGGGAAGAUGAUGACGGUACCCGCAGAAGAAGCCCCGGCUAACUCCGUGCCAGCAGCCGCGGUAAUACGGAGGGGGCUAGCGUUGCUCGGAAUUACUGGGCGUAAAGGGCGCGUAGGCGGACUUUUUAGUCAGGCGUGAAAGCCCCGGGCUCAACCCGGGAACUGCGUUUGAUACUGGAAGUCUAGAGAUCUGGAGAGGGUGGUGGAAUUCCCAGUGUAGAGGUGAAAUUCGUAGAUAUUGGGAAGAACACCGGUGGCGAAGGCGGCCACCUGGCCAGACACUGACGCUAAGGCGCGAAAGCGUGGGGAGCAAACAGG